rnacentral:rRNA from 1 species
GUAGGUGGCAAGCGUUGUCCGGAAUUAUUGGGCGUAAAGCGCGCGCAGGCGGUUCUUUAAGUCUGAUGUGAAAGCCCACGGGCUCAACCGUGGAGGGUCAUUGGAAACUGGAGAACUUGAGUACAGAAGAGGAAAGCGGAAUUCCACGUGUGGCGGUGAAAUGCGUAGAGAUGUGGAGGAACACCAGUGGCGAAGGCGGCUUUCUGGUCUGUAACUGACGCUGAGGCGCGAAAGCGUGGGGAGCAAACAGGAUUAGAUACCCUGGUAGUCCACGCCGUAAACGAUGAGUGCUAAGUGUUAGGGGGUUUCCGCCCCUUAGUGCUGCAGCUAACGCAUUAAGCACUCCGCCUGGGGAGUACGGCCGCAAGGCUG